rnacentral:tRNA from 1 species
GCAGGUAUAGCUCAGUUGUAGAGUGCGUUGCCUAGUAUGCACAUGGUCUAGGGUUCAAUUCCCAGUACCUCCG